rnacentral:rRNA from 1 species
ACGCUCGACACCUACGGGGGGCAGCAGUCGGGAAUAUUGCGCAAUGGAGGGAACUCUGACGCAGUGACGCCGCGUGCAGGAAGAAGGUUUUCGGAUUGUAAACUGCUUUAGACAGGGAAGAAUAAUGACGGUACCUGUAGAAUAAGCUCCGGCUAACUACGUGCCAGUAGCCGCGGUAAUCUGAGCGGGCUGGCAAGGC